rfam:Spinacia oleracea cultivar SynViroflay scaffold5576.con0002.1, whole genome shotgun sequence.
GUCCCAUGAUGAGGGCACUCAGGUUGAUACUCUUUGAAUCGGUCCGAAGCUUCAAACAAGGAUCCAUCCCUUUUUUUCUCAAAGGAUUGAAUCUUAUUUCGGUACUC